rnacentral:lncRNA from 1 species
GGUGGAUUCUUAUGGCAAUGUUUGAAGUAACAGGGGAAAAAAACUAACAUGACUCUAGCACUAGCGUUUCCAGUCAAAUCCAGUCCGUGGCCUCUAAGCUAAGAAUUGUUUUACCAGGUGUGCAGGGUCUAGCUUAUCAAAUCCUGCACAUUCCAAAGAUAAGCCUGCCCCUUGACCAGCUCCCUAGGAGAUAACCUUUUAAGUUCUUAGAAUAUCCCGCCUCCUGGGUGUGCCUCUGUUUACUUGGAGCCUUGAGCCACAUCAGAUAGUUUAUGAUAACAGUGAUUUUGGGGUGGGGGGACCUUGCACCUCACAGGAGCAGCUUGAUCUCUGGAGGAGCCGGAAGCUGAAUAAGGCCAGCCAAGUGGGUGCUCCAUGCCUGCCAGACCUGCACUGCAAUGGAAGCCCUGGACACGGAGUCUCAGGUAAGUGUCCCUUGUUGACGGGAUGCUCUGCGUGUUGUCCCACAUCUCUUCCGGAAGAAUUAAAUUCGGUCCCUGCAGCUUCUCUGGAGAGGAAACGUGGAGGCUUGUGCAGGUCUCCUGGACUCUUCCUGGUGCCUUUUACAUUUGCUGAUUUUAAAUUUUAUCUUUUUGCUGUAAACUGUAACUGUCAGCCCGACAGCUUUUCUGAGUUCCAUGGGUCAUUGAACUAGAGAGUAAUCUGGGGGCCUCUGACAUGAUAUAUUUAAAGGACUGUGUUUUUAGAAAGAAUAUGCAGGAGUUCCCAUUGUGGCUUAGUGGGUGAAAGACCUGACAUUGUCUCUGUGGGGGUGUGGGUUUGAUCCCUGGCCUCACUCAGUGGGUUAAGGAUCUGGUGUUGCUGCAAGCUGCAGUUAGGCAUAUGCAGCCAGUAAAAUACGUUUUUAAAUAAAUAAAUAGAAUAUGCAGUAGAGACCAUAUGUGUCCUGAGAAGCUUAAAACAUUGCUGUUUGGCCCUUUACAGAAAACUGUUUCCAACUCAUGCAGAAAUGUAACAAAUAAAUACCUAUGUUAUUUUCACACAUUGAAGACAUAACAAUUAAAAUGGAUGAAUAGCUAUGUAAAUAAAUCUCAAACUGUUUUAAAUUAAAAAAUGUAGCAGAAGAAUAAAGCAGUAGGAUACUAUUUAUGUAACUUAAACUAUUGUUAUGAUUAAAUGUGUACGUAAAAUGUAAAAAGCACCAAGAAGGAUGUCCAGGAACCUCAGGAUUGUCCUGAGCUCCAGGGGAAAAAACGGAAUGGAAGGUAAGAAAUUUGUCAGAUUUCAUCCUUAAAAAGAGAGAUUCAGGGGAAAUAACUGAAUCUCAUGAAACAAAUGAAAAGAGUUUAUUUUACUGACUCUUUUGUUUCUUUCCCCAAUCAGCUUAGCUUGGAACUGUAGAAUGAUUGUGAUAAAGAUCUCGGCGGCCUCCCAUUCUUCAGGUUCUCCGUCAAGGCACAGGUCUUGGUCGGUGAAUUGCCCAAAGUCAUGAUAAACUCUUGUUUUGUUGUUUUUGCUUUUUAGGGCCACACUCGCAGUGUAUGGAGGCUCCCAGGCUAGGGGCUGAAUGGGAACUACAGCUGUCGGCCUAUGUCACAGCUCACUGCCACGCUGGAUCCUUAAUCCACUGAGCGAGGCCAGGGAUCAAACCCACAUCCUCAUGGUUCCUAGUCGGAUUCAUUUCUGCUGCGCCACGACGAGAACUCCGAAUUCUUGUUUGUUUAAAGAGAGCAUUCUGUAGGAAGUAUGUUAGUGCUGGCAGGGUCAGUAAUUUUGAACUAUGGGAACCUCUUAAAGGAGUAAGGGCUAUGCUAAUACAUUCCAGAGCUAUAUCAAGUUCUCUUUUAAUUCUGUCCAUCUGUAAAUUGAAGACUAUUGAGAAAUAGGUAUGGAAGAAAGAGAAACAUACAUUCUGAGAAUUCAUGCAGCUAGCUCUUUUACAGAUAGUAAAGCAUGGAUAGGGAGUUCCCUGGUGGCCUAGCGGUUAAGAACUCGGCAUUGUCACUGCUGUGGCUCUGGUUCAGUCCCUGGCCCAGGAACUUCUGCAGCCCUGGGCACAGCCAAAAACAAAGAAAAGCAUGCACGGCCUCAGGGAUUAAUAUCCUUUAUGCUGGGGGUGAGCUGCUUAAUGCACUCUAGGUUUACAGUGGAGGCAAUAUACCUAAUUUGUAUUUUCUUAAAAUUUCUUUUGCUCUUUGAACUGUGGCUCAGCAGGUUAAGAACCCAACUAGUCUCUAUGAGGAUAUGGAUUCAAUCCCUGGCCUCGCUCAGUGGGUUAACAGGAUCUGGUGUUGCCGCAAGCUGUGACGUAGUCAGAGAUGUGUCUUGGAGCCAGUGUUGCCAUGGCUGUGCUGUAGGCUGGCAGCUGCAGCACUGAUUCAACCCCUAGCCCUGGGAACUUCCAUAUGCUGUAGGUGCGGCU